AUGCAAAUGAGAUGUAAAGGUCAAGCCUGCUCCCAUCUCAUUUGCAUAGCUCUGCAUCCACUAUGCAGUCACGUUUAUACUCCUCUUUUCCCUUUCGUCAGUGUUCUUUUUUUUUUUUUUAAAGAUUUUAUUUAUUUAUUCGACAGAGAUAGAGACAGCCAGCAGAGAGGGAACACAAGCAGGGGGAGCGGGAGAAGAAGAAGCAGGCUCAUAGCAGAAGAGCCUGAGGUGGGGCUCGAUCCAGAACACCGGGAUCACGCCCUGAGCCGAAGGCAGACGCUUAACUGCUGUGCCACCCAGGCGCCCCUCGUCAGUGUUCUUUUUAUCCUCAGUUCAACUCUUCCUUGCAUCACCCUUACCCACAGCCCAGGGGGACCAGGAGUGGGAGGAAAAGCUGCUCUCCUGCUGGCCCGAGGCAAUGGUAUCCUUUGCCAGUUCCCACCUCGUGGGGGGGGGGGCACUUGGAAGUAGAAGCAGCGGGGGAAUCUGCGGGUGCAGCCCCCCUGCCCUUGGUUAACCUCCAAAGUCCCCUGAUGGAAGAGCAUCCUCUGAUGGAGGCGGGGGGAGCCUGGCCUGGGGGGCCGCGCACCUUGCCGAGGAACUGGCACCUGACCAUGUAGGGCGGAUCCCCCGUGCUGAUGCUCUUCUGGCACCUUCACCUCCAGUGAUGCCUGGGGGGCAGGGCUGGACCCCUCCUCUCCUGUCUUCAUCCCUUCAACUGCGCCCUACCUCCCCUACACCAGCACCACUCAGUCCCCGGCCCGGGGCUGGGUUGGAACAGGUGUGUGCCCACCACAUUACCUCUCUGACCCCGUCCUCCUUCCCUGGACGCUUGUACUUGGGGCACCUCGGGACGAGGACUGUGCCCCCCACUGUCCACAUUCAGUGCCGGCCCUGUUGCCCUUCCUGUCUCCCCUCCCUCAGCCAAUUGUUCAGCUUUUGCUCUGACUGGUUUUCUUUCUUUUCCUUUGAUUAAAUGUGAAAACAAAGGCUUCUGGGCUCUAUUUGUCUUUGGUUGGGGCCCGGUGGAUGGCUUUGGUACAGGGUGAGAGGGGGGAGCCCAGCACAGAUGAUUCUGGAGUGGAAGUCACAGUGACUUGUCUUGUGUCCAGUGAUGUCUUCCAAAAUUUCCCAUCCCACCCUUCCACAUGCCCCAUCCCCAGAAGCCGCUCGUUCUAAAUGCCUAUAUCCAGGAGUCUGUGAGCAUUCGUGGGGGCCAGGGGACUCAGGGACUCCAAGGCUCAUCCAGUCCCCUUCACCCAGAGCUUGCUGUGUGACCUUCAGCUGGGCCCUGUGCUGCUUAGGUUCAUACUCCCUGAAAAUGUCAUGGACUCUCCUGGCGCUGAUGCUGGGAUUGGUUCUAGGUGCUCAACAAUGCAUGCCAUGGAGAGCUGGUUGAAAUGUCACCAUGGGGCGGGG
rnacentral:lncRNA from 1 species